GCAAAAUGCUCUGAAUGAAAGAGAAACCUGCCCCCUUACACUUCUGCCUGUUUGAUAUCUGUAGGAGAUCACUCAUCCCUCAUCACUCAUUACUCAUCACUCGUUCUCUCAUCUGCAGCUGCUGGACACAACCCAAUCACACCACUGUGAACUGAGGAGCAGGAAGUGCAUCACUACAAUGGAUAGCAACCAUCACGCCGCAGCGUCUUUCAGACAUCAGCUCCACCCAGUGGGCGCCGCGCAGCA